CUCAGAUUGAACGCUGGCGGCAGGCCUAACACAUGCAAGUCGAGCGGUAGAGAGAAGCUUGCUUCUCUUGAGAGCGGCGGACGGGUGAGUAAUGCCUAGGAAUCUGCCUGGUAGUGGGGGAUAACGUUCGGAAACGGACGCUAAUACCGCAUACGUCCUACGGGAGAAAGCAGGGGACCUUCGGGCCUUGCGCUAUCAGAUGAGCCUAGGUCGGAUUAGCUAGUUGGUGAGGUAAUGGCUCACCAAGGCGACGAUCCGUAACUGGUCUGAGAGGAUGAUCAGUCACACUGGAACUGAGACACGGUCCAGACUCCUACGGGAGGCAGCAGUGGGGAAUAUUGGACAAUGGGCGAAAGCCUGAUCCAGCCAUGCCGCGUGUGUGAAGAAGGUCUUCGGAUUGUAAAGCACUUUAAGUUGGGAGGAAGGGCAGUUACCUAAUACGUGAUUGUUUUGACGUUACCGACAGAAUAAGCACCGGCUAACUCUGUGCCAGCAGCCGCGGUAAUACAGAGGGUGCAAGCGUUAAUCGGAAUUACUGGGCGUAAAGCGCGCGUAGGUGGUUAGUUAAGUUGGAUGUGAAAUCCCCGGGCUCAACCUGGGAACUGCAUUCAAAACUGACUGACUAGAGUAUGGUAGAGGGUGGUGGAAUUUCCUGUGUAGCGGUGAAAUGCGUAGAUAUAGGAAGGAACACCAGUGGCGAAGGCG
rnacentral:rRNA from 1 species